GGUCGGAUGGUGUAGUUGGUCAUCACGUCAGUCUAACACACUGAAGGUCCCCGGUUCAAGCCCGGGUCCGAUCA